rnacentral:lncRNA from 10 species
CCCGAGGCUGGAGUGCAAUGGUGCAAUCUCGGCUCACUGCAACCUAUGCCUCCAAGGUUCAAGAGAUUCUCCUGCUUCAGCCUCUCAAGUAGCUAGGAUUACAGGCAAGUGCCACCACGCCCGGCUAAUUUUUGUAUUUUUAGUAGAGACGGGGUUUCACCAUGUUGGCCAGGCUGGUCUCAAACUCCUGACCUUAGGUGAUUCUCCCACCUUGGCCUCCCAAAGUGCUGGGAUUACAGGCGUAAGCCACCAUGCCUGGGCUUGUCUAGCUUUUGUAUUGCUAGCUUUGUAAAAUUAGUUUGGAAGUAUUCUGUCUACUUUGAUUUUCUAGAAAAGCUUAGAAUUGGUAUUAGUUCUUCAUUAAUAUUUGGUAGAUUUCAGUAGAGGAGUCAUCCAAUUCUGGGCUUUUCUUUGGUGGGAGAAUUUUUAUUACUGAUUCAAUCUUCUUACUUAUUAUUGGUCUGUUCAGGUUUUCUCCUUCUUCAUGAUUAAUCUUGAUAGGUUGUGUGUGUCUAGAAAUUUAUUCAUUUCUUCUAUGUUAUUCAAUUAGUUGCUGUAUAAUUGUUCAGUUCUUAUGAUCCUUUGUAUUUUGGGAGUAUCAAUUGUAAUAUCUCCUUUUUCAUUUCUGAUAUUUACUUCUUUGGGUCUUUUUUUUUUUCUUGGUUAGUCUAGCUAAUGGUCUGUUGAUUUUUUUUUUUUCAAAAAAGAAUCUCUUAGUUUUGUUGAAAUUUUUCUUUUAUUUUUCUAGUCUGUAUUCCAUUUAUUUUGGCUCUGAUCUUUGUUCUUUCCUUCCUUCUGGUCACUUUCAGAUUAGCUUGUUCUUCUUUUUAUUGUUCCUUGAGGUGUAACAUUAGAUUGUUUAUUCAUGAUAUUUCUUCUUUCUUGAUAUAGGCAUUUAUUGCUAUAAAUUUCCCCCUUUCUGCUAAUUUUGCUGCAUCCCAUAAGUUUUGGUAUGCUGUGUUUCCAUUUUUCUUUGUCUGAAGGCAUUUUAAAAUUUCAUUCUAAUUUUUUCUGUGACCCAGUGGCUGUUUAGGAGCAUAUUGUUUAAUUUCCACAUAUUUGUUUAUUUUCCAAGAUUUCUCCUGUUAUUGAUUUCUGGUUUUAUCCCACUGUGAUCUGAAAGAACACUUGAUAUGAUUUCAAUACUCUUACAUUUGCUAAGGUUUGUUUUGUGGCCUAACAUCUGAUCUAUUCUGGAGAUUAUUUUAUGUUCACUUAAGAAGAACGUGUAUUCUGUUGCUGUGGAAUGGAAUGUGCUGUUAGGUCUAUUUGGUCUAUACUGCAAUUCAAGUCCAAAGUUUCUAUACUGAUUUUCUGUAUGGAUAAUCUGUCCACUGUUCAAAGUGGGAUGCUGUGGUCCCUUGCUAUCUUAGCACUGCAGUCUACGUAUCCCUUCAGGUCAUUUUAUAAUUGCUUUAUAUAUUUAGGUGCUCUCUAAUGUUGCAUUCAUAUGCGUUUACAAUUAUGUCUGUGAAUUAAUACCUUUUUAUCAUUAUGUGAUAGCCUCCUUUGUAUCUUUUAUGGUUUUUGACUUUAAAUCUAUUUUGUCUGAUAUAAGUAUAGCUCCCCUGGCUCUCCUUGGGUUUCCAUGUGUGUGAAAUAUCUUUUUUCACCCCUUCACUUUCUAUGUACAUGCUUAUUAGGAAAGCAAGUCUCUACUAGGCAACAUGUGAUUAGACCUUACUUUUUCUUUAAUCCAUUUGGCUACUCUGUAUCUUUUUAUAAUAGAGAGUUUAAUCUAUUCUUUAUUUCCCCAUCCAUUGAGCCAGUCUUGGUUAUUUUAUUGAAGAAUUUAAUCCAUUUACAUUCAAGGCAGUUACUGAUAGGUAAGAAUUGCUACUGCCGUUUUGGAAUUUGAUUUCUAAUUUAGAUCCUUUGUUUCCUUCUUCCUCUGUACUGUCUUCCUUUGUGGUUUUUCUGGUUUUCUGUGGUUGUAUGUUUUGAAUCCUUUCUUUUUAUACUUUGUGCAACUACUAUAGGUUUUUACUUUGUAGUAUAAAAGUUGCAGAUACCAAGAUGAAAUUACUCUUCUCAAACCCAAACAAAUUGCAGCCAGCAAAGCACAUAGAGAGGUCGUGUGUGGAUGUCUGAGAUAAAACCUAUCUCAAGUACUUUCUAAAAUAGCCACACAAGAACUUUUUCAUGUCCUUCACAUAUCUCCCUCCCACAAAGGGACCCAAAAUGGCGAGGAAAUGGAAUAUCCUCCUCCAAUUCACUUUUCCCCCUGUAGAAACCAUGGGUCUAGGGAAAUUCUCUGUGUGUGCCACUGUCCCAGCUUGGGGGAGGGGUGGUACAGUCAAAGAAAACUGUUCCGCUUAUUGUUCAGCCACAGCUUUUCUCAGUUCUGUGGUCAAGUGGAUGUCUCAAGUUCUGGGUUAUUCACAAUGGUAUUCUUGCCUGAUGAUAGUUGUUAGUUGAAUUUCUGGGAGAGAGGGGAACAGAGAAUGAGGCCCGAUAACUUCUAUUCUACCACCUUGCUGAUGAGAUUUAUUUUAGGAAAUUGGCUCACAUGAUUGCAAAGGCUUGACAAAUCCAAAAUCUGCAGAAUAAGUCAGCAGACUGGAGACCCAGGGAAGAGCUGCUCUUCAAGUCCAAAGGCCAUCUGCUAGUAGGAUUCCCUUUUCUUCUGAGGAGGCACAGCUGACUAGCAUUAACAUUAAUACAGCGACCUUAUGAUUGACAAAACAGACUCUCUCUAGUAACAAGAUAUCAACAUGACAGAUAGCAGGCCCUGAAAGAAAUGUAAGUAUUUUACCCCAAAAUAUAUUUCUUUGACAUAUUUUGAAAUACCCCUGCAAAGCUGUCUCUUCUGGGGAAAAUCUACAUUCCAUAGAGAAUCCCCUUCCCUUUCCAGGUCUUUUUCCCUAUCCAGGAGAGAAUUAAUUAAGAGUCUGGUACGUUUUUAUGUCUGAUAAGAAACAUUUACAAUCUAUUCUCUCUGAAGCCUGCUAACUAGAGGCUUCAUCUGCAAUAAUAAGAACCUUGGUCUCUGCAACCCCUUAUCUUAACCCAGACACUCCCUUCGAUUGAUUCCAGGUCUUUAGAUGAACUCUUUCAACCAACUGCCAAUCAGAAAAUCUUUGAAUCCUCCUACGACAUGGAAGCCACUUCAAGUUGUCCCGCCUUUUUGGACCAAACCAAUGUACAUCUUACACGUAUUGAUGGACGUCUAUUUUCUCCCUAAAAUGUAUAAAACCAUGCUACACCCUGAUCACCCUGGGCACAUGUUAUCAGGAUCUCCUGGGGCUGUGUCAUGGGCCAUGGUCACUCAUAUUUGGCUUGGAAUAAAUCUCUUCAAAUAUUACAG